rnacentral:rRNA from 1 species
UACGGGGGAGGCAAGCGUUGUUCGGAUUUACUGGGCGUAAAGGGCGCGUAGGCGGCCACCGCAAGUCAAUUGUGAAAUCUCCGGGCUUAACUCGGAAAGGUCAACUGAUACUGCGGGGCUAGAGUGCGGAAGGGGCAACUGGAAUUCUCGGUGUAGCGGUGAAAUGCGUAGAUAUCGAGAGGAACACCUGCGGCGAAGGCGGGUUGCUGGGCUGACACUGACGCUGAACUGCGAAAGCUAGGGGAGCGAACGGG